CCCUUAGAUGUUCUGGGCCGCACGCGCGCUACACUGAUGCGUUCAUCGAGCUGAAUUUUUUCGAACCUUGGCCGGCAGGUCCGGGUAAUCUGUGAAAUCGCAUCGUGAUGGGGAUAGAUUAUUGUAAUUUUUAAUCUUCAACGAGGAAUUCCUAGUAAACGCAAGUCAUCAGCUUGCAUUGAUUACGUCCCUGCCCUUUGUACACACCGCCCGUCGCUACUACCGAUUGAAUGGCUUAGUGAGUUUCCUGGACCGCGGCCCUUGGCUCCUUGCGGGUCUCGGGCUGCGGGAAGGGAAUCAAACUUAUCUAUUUAGAGGAAGUAAAAGUCGUAACA
rnacentral:rRNA from 1 species